CAGAAGAAGCACCGGCUAACUCCGUGCCAGCAGCCGCGGUAAUACGGAGGGUGCAAGCGUUAAUCGGAAUUACUGGGCGUAAAGCGCACGCAGGCGGUCUGUCAAGUCGGAUGUGAAAUCCCCGGGCUCAACCUGGGAACUGCAUUCGAAACUGGCAGGCUAGAGUCUUGUAGAGGGGGGUAGAAUUCCAGGUGUAGCGGUGAAAUGCGUAGAGAUCUGGAGGAAUACCGGUGGCGAAGGCGGCCCCCUGGACAAAG
rnacentral:rRNA from 1 species